CCGCUGGCUUCCCAGUUGCUGGCCUGCAUGGCUCCCGGCUGAUCCGACCUCCAGAAAGGUGAGCUCCAUCUCUCUCGUACAAUUUGGCAAGCUUGCUCAUCGAAGUUGCUCUCGUGACAGGGCGCCGCUGGAGGCAGGACUUUGAUGAGCCUUCCAUCGAGGGAGGAGUUGAAGGUGUCCCAGGCGCUGGGAUCUGGCCAGCAGCUGGAUUGAAAUGCGGUGCACAAACAAUCGUGAUCCAAGGACGACCGGGCAUCGGCAACGAGCAAAAU
rnacentral:lncRNA from 1 species